rnacentral:lncRNA from 1 species
UUCUCUUCUUGGCUCACUUUUUCUGGCUCAAUUUUCUCAACCUGAUAGUUACAUUUAUUUAGAUUUCUUCUAUAUUAAUUAUGUCCUGCAGGAAACUGUUUACUGUUGUGUUUAAGAGGCAAUGAAUCCAACUGACAAGUGUCCAAUAAGACACAGCUAUGAUUUUGCCCCUAAUCCCUUUCUCAGUGAGAGAAAAGAAUUGUCUUCAGAGGACACAAGUAGUAGCUCAUAGCAAGGGAGGGCAGAGUCCUGAAAGGCAGAAGGAGGAGGAGUCCAUUCCACCACUGCUGGGUUUCCCAGGCAGAAAUAAGCUGAGGGUGCACUGAGCGGGGACAAACCUUAAAUGGAGGAAGAGCCUGGAGUCACAUGAUUGCUCAAUUAGUCUUGAUCUUUCUCCAGUAAAGAGUGGCUAGAAGGCUAUUUACAUGCCUGAUUGUGACAGAAAAAUGUUGUGGCUUGUCAGAAAAUCCAUUCACAGGCAGAGAGAAGACUAUCAACAGAACAACUUUAAAGAGAACUGGUAGGGAGAGUGAAAGCAUUCUCUGCAGGGGGUGUAAUCCAGCUCAUUUAAUCAAUGUAGCUUUACUCCGAUUUCUUACCUUUAGAGUUUAAGGAACUAAAAAGCAAGACCCUCUGGUGAUUCUUCCACUGUGCCUUCUUUCUGGCCUCUUGGAUUCAGCUGGGGCAUUUGUCGAUUGAUUUUAUUUAAGGCACUGUUCUUGACUUGCUUCUUUUGCUAACAUCCCUCUGUUUUCAAUCUUCACCGAACAUCCUUUAUGUCUUACUAAGGAAUUCAGCAUUUCCUGCCUAAACCAUUGUAAAAGUCAUAUUUGUGGAUAUUUUGUGAUAUGAGAAUAUCCAUACAAUUUACCUUCCCUGGUAAGGUCAAAAUUCUCUUCUUAAGAGUUAAUCAUAGGUGAGCAAUCCCCAAAAGGUAAUCACCCAAAAUUUAAAAAUAAAGCAAGAGAAUAUAAAGCCAAAUAAGAUAUCUCUGAUAUUAUUUUCCAACUGUGUACAGGAUCUUAUUGUUGGGCAUUAAGGUCCUUCUAAGCUUGCCCUAACUUAUCUUUCUUAGAUAUUUACGUGGAUAAUAUCCUCUAUGUUCUAGCCAUGCACUAGCUCUAAACUUUCCUCAAAAUAUUAUGUUAGUUUCUCUGCUGGGAGAAAAUUCAGGGAGGCUGAAGUGCAGACAUUCAGUUAGUUAGACAACUGUAGCUCAGUCACUGUCUGGCUGAGCUUCCCACUCUUGGCAGCUGACUUAAUGUUUCUUCACUCUUUACAGAUGGAUAAAAAUUGCAAAUUGUAAGUGUUUAUAUAUGGGUUAAAUGAGAUAAUAUAAUCAGAUAUUUAAACAUAGUGUUUAUUCAAUAAAAAAAACAAGUGUAGUAAUUACCUUAUGAAACUUAUACACACAAAUCCCUCUUCCUGGAGACAUGGGUAAAUCUCAGCUCUAACAUCUUGGGCUUAAGUUUCAGCUUCAGUAUCAUCUCCCCUUUAAAUUAAAUUUCAUUCCUUUAUUCCAAUGAGGAUUUUAACACAGAAUAUUUAUAUUUUACCACAAUUAGAAAAGGACAUUUUAUAGUUCCUACUUAAGAGUGACUCUUUCAAUGGCAUGAAUAAUCUAUUUAGAUUCAUAUUUUCAUAAUGCCUGGCACAAUGUGAAGUCUCAAUAAAUUGAAUUAUCAGGAACUGAUAUUAAUUUGGCAGAUGGUCUAGGAGAAUUUUAAAAGGUGCACAGCACCCUUUUAAACACAGCCUGAGAGAUGCUUGCACUUUUAGAAUCCCUAUGCCUUCCUAGUGUCCCCUGGGACCUCCCCCUGCAGUAGCUUUUGUCUGACCACUGGGCUACCCCACUCAUGGCUCAGCCUCCUCCUUCCAGCAUUUCCCUCUGGACUCCUCUUGGAAGAAACCUCCUGAUGAUUAGCAGCAUGAAGAGCAUAACCGAUAACUGCAGGGAUACAGUUCAGCUGAGGAGGAAAGUGGUAAUUAUUCCUUGAAACAUAAAAGAAAAAAAUCAUUCCUACACUGCUUUUGUCCUUCACCUGACCUUGCCCUUGCUCUCCCUUCUCCCCACUCACACUUCCUCUCCUCAGUCACCUCCUCCUCGUUCUUCCCACUGACUCAUUUCCUUCAAAUAUCCCAUGUAGCUCUGACUUUAAUCACGUUCCUCUGAUUUUAUGAUGAAACACAGUUCUAUGUCCUUCUACUGAUGUUGAAUUACUGUAUUUAUAUUAUUACAUCAUUGGAGUUAAUAAAGUCCCCUGUGCUAUGCAUCUGUUAUUUCAUCCAGAAAGACAAUGGGGUAACGCAAGUAUAUUGCACAGGGGAUGUGGGGUCAUUAUGUGCUGUUUUGUCUUGUUUGGUCUGGACUUCAAGUGCUGCAGAUUGAGUUAGUCAUACUCUUCAAUUCGUGGCCAAAUGGCCAAGAUGGAGUGUCCUAUCUAUACCACCCAUCACACAGAACAUUGAAAUGCAUCUAUAUUAGUGGUGAGAAGAGAGGCGGCCUGGGGGUGACCUUGAAAUAAAAAAGAAGCAUAUGGAAAUAAGCCUAGGGCUCUCAAAUUCUGGAUCUAAAAAGCAACAAAGAGAAUCUCAGUGGUUGAUGUGUCGGAAAUAGAAAGUGAAUGAGUUUGAGAUUUUAUAUAUAUAUAUGCAAAUAAUAACAAAUUGUCAGUUUUCUCUGACAAAAGUUUUAAUUCUGCUUCAUGGCUUUAAACAUAUGCAGUAUAUCUAGCUUCGACUUAGAAUAUAGAAAGCUGGAAGGAAUAUUGUUUCCACCCUUACAAUAAACACAACAAAAACAUGCUGGAUUGUCUAUUAAAUUACAACUUUCUUCAACCUACUAGAUUGCUGAGGACAAGAAAACAAACUGAAGAAAAAGAACCUCCAGGGAGACAAGGAGGCAAGCAUUUGUGGGAGAAGAUACAGCUGAUGACAAGAAGUUUGCUAAAUUUCGAGUAAAUAAUUGAGGCCAAGGGUGGGCAAGUGUGAGAGUAUAGAAACCCUCAGCACCCUUUUCUCAUGGACCUCUUGAGAAAUAUGGGAACACAGCGAGACGCAGAAGCAAACUUCCUUUGUGGUGAAAGUGUAAGGGAGAGAACAGUGGUGCCCACAGGCAAAGCUUCACUAAAGUCCUUCACUCCUAUCGCUCCUAUGGUACAAAACAAAAAGCUGGUCCAGGAAGGCUUGCAAAGCUGUUCUUCCCAUGGAAAAUCUAUGGCAGUUGUGGUAAGGGAAGACUGAGGGAGGGAGUCAGAGAGAGGAAGAAAAUAAGGAAGAAGUCUACUUUUGGAGAAAGACAAGAAGCAUCCAGAUUGUUAGACAUUCUUCUGGCCAGACCUACUGAGAAAAGGGUACUGCACCUACUUAAGACUGUGGUGAACCAAACAUUUCUUGGAAGAAAACAGCUUUUUCCCAUCUCUAGUACUUUUCAUUUCAACAAGAAUUUCAUAGAAAAGCAUCCUUUUGAAAGUAUGUUCCUGGCGCAACUGGCAAUAUAUCAUCUCUAUAUUCAAUAUAUAAUUCAAGAUAAAAUCAAAUAUAGGUCAGGAUGAUUAUUUUUGAAAUGUAUACCAAUCAAUGUAUUGGAAUAAAGACAUAACUUCUACCUUUGAUAACCUGGAAAUAUUUUUUGAGACACAUAGUUUUGGAUGUCAAAGGAAGAGAAAAAAUGUUAGAGGCAGCUAUGAGGAUGCGACAAGGAAUCCAGGCCAAGUUUUCAGGCAGGAAUAUGAAAGGGGUGAUUAACGAAUCAUGAGCAGACCGACUUGACUAACCCAUAAAGGUGAUGGCUACUUAACAGGCCUGGAAGCAGAUGAGGUGUAGUCUCAAACCAGCUUAAGUAUUGGGGGGCGAUGGGGACAAUAUUGAGCACAUACUUAUUAAAUAAUAGGAAAGUGUCAGUUAUGCCUUUGGUGGCCAGGGCAAAAAGAGAUUGGCAACAGGGGGAUUUUCAUGAAGCUCUUCUACAAAUGCUAUCUGUGGGUUUGUUCAAAGCUUGAGCUCAAACAAGGUCAUAGAUGUAGAAAGGAGCGCACCUGUGUAAGGGGGAUCUACUGGAGCAUUCAUGCCCCAACCUAACAGUGUGCAAAACACAUUGUGCACUCUCCACAAGAACAGUGACAUGUUUGAAGAAUACUCAUUCAUUUUUUAAAUAUAUUGAUUAUCCUUCAGAGUCACAGUUAGGAAAAUGUAUGCAGUCUUAAUCUUGAGAUCUAAAGACCAGAAGAGUAAAUGCAAAUUUUACUAACGCAAUAUAUUUUGCCAUAAAAUUUACCAUAAAAUGAUCAUUCCACACUCUUCAUCUCAUGUGGAUCAUAUAAGCCAACAUGUUUUUAUCAAAACUCCCAUUAUUAUAUUAUUAUUGACAUUAUUAGCACAAAAAACAGGAUUUGAAAUGGAAAAUAAUAGCACCAAAUGUAUGUAUUCAAAUAAUAUCAUUUACACAGGUAUAGCCAACAGAGGAUGAGAUUAAAGAUCCAUGACAAAAUAAAGUGAAGAAAACAGAAUUAAGAAAUCCUGAUGUACAUAAAGUUAGUGUCUUCUCAAGUUUCUAAGAGAGUUCACUCUGAAAAGCCUGCAAAUGCAAAGGAGCAUUGUAAAGAUUGCAGUGAUGUGGGAUCUCUCAAAGAUACCCAGCUGUAUUAGGGUUCUCCUGCGAAAAUGGAAGAUGCAUACAUAUAAAAUGAGAUUUGGCUCACCUAAUUAUGGAGGCCCAGAAGUCCCACAGCCUGCUUUUUGCAAUCUUGGGAGAAGCAGCAAAACAGAAGGGUAAUUCAGUUUUAGUCUAAAGACCUGAGAAUGGGGGUAAGGUUUAUUUGUGUAAGUCAUAGAGUCCAAAAGCCAGAGAACAAGGAACAGCGAUAUCAGAGGGCAGGAGAAGAUGGAUGUCUCAGCUCAAAAAGAGAGCGCAAACUUGCCCCUCCUUUACAUGUUUGUUCUAUUCUGGCUCAUAAUAGAUUAGUUAAUGUUUGCCAUCAUUGGUGAAGGCAAUCUUCUUCACUCAGUCUUCAAAUACAAAUGCUAAUACCUCCCAGAAAUGCCCUCACAGAUACAUCCAGAGGUAAUAUUUUACCUGCUCUCUGGAUAUCCCUUAGCCCAGUCAAGUGGACACAUACAAUUAGCCAUCAAUGCCAUCUAUGGAACCAAAAUAGAAAUCAGUACGGAAAGAUCAGUGUGAGGCCAUCAGCUGCAAUAAGAAGGGGUAAAAGUCAUAUGCCAAAUGUCCCGGCCCCCAAACUAUGACCAAUGACGCCCUUCUCUCGAGUUGAUCAUCUACAAUAUUAGACAAUGUGGUCAUGAAUAAUAAUUUACUUGUAACAUUUUUAAAUGAAGCUAAUAUGAGAAAAUGGCCAUAAGGAUGUGAUGCACUGUUAACUCUGACAGAAUUAUAAGUUAUUUUACACCUCAAACUAGUAGCUUCUUUGUCUGUUAAUAACAUUUUACCUACUGGACACUGACAUCAUCCAGGAAUUCUUAAUUCACAUUCCAAAUCUUUUAGUAGUGACUUUCAAGUAGCAGGGUUUGUCAUGG